UGGGGAAUAUUGCACAAUGGAGGGAACUCUGAUGCAGCGACGCCGCGCGAGUGAUGAAGGAAUUCGUUUCGUAAAACUCUGUUCUAUGGGAAGAAAAGGACUGUACCAUAGGAGAAAGCUCCGGCUAAAUACGUGCCAGCAGCCGCGGUAAUACGUAUGGAGCGAGCGUUGUCUGGAAUUAUUGGGCGUAAAGGGUGCGCAGGCGGCUUUACAAGUUGGAUGUGAAAUAUUGUGGCUCAACCACAAACGUGCAUCCAAAACUGCAAAGCUUGAGUUAAGGAGAGGUAAGUGGAAUUCCUGGUGUAGCGGUGAAAUGCGUAGAUAUCAGGAGGAAUACCGGUGGCGAAGGCGACUUACUGGACUUAAACUGACGCUCAGGCACGAAAGCGUGGGGAGCAAACAGG
rnacentral:rRNA from 1 species